rnacentral:rRNA from 1 species
UACGUAGGGUGCGAGCGUUGUCCGGAAUUACUGGGCGUAAAGAGCGCGCAGGCGGUCGUUCAAGUCGCGUGUGAAAGCCCCCGGCUCAACUGGGGAGGGUCACGCGAUACUGAUCGACUCGAAGGCAGGAGAGGGAAGUGGAAUUCCCGGUGUAGUGGUGAAAUGCGUAGAUAUCGGGAGGAACACCAGUGGCGAAGGCGACUUCCUGGCCUGUUCUUGACGCUGACGGCGCGAAAGCUAGGGGAGC